rnacentral:rRNA from 1 species
ACGAACGCUGGCGGCGCGCCUAACACAUGCAAGUCGCACGAGCGAGAGAGAGCUUGCUUUCUCGAGCGAGUGGCGAACGGGUGAGUAACGCGUGAGGAACCUGCCUCAAAGAGGGGGACAACAGUUGGAAACGACUGCUAAUACCGCAUAAGCCCACGACCCGGCAUCGGGUAGAGGGAAAAGGAGCAAUCCGCUUUGAGAUGGCCUCGCGUCCGAUUAGCUAGUUGGUGAGGUAACGGCCCACCAAGGCGAUGAUCGGUAGCCGGACUGAGAGGUUGAACGGCCACAUUGGGACUGAGACACGGCCCAGACUCCUACGGGAGGCAGCAGUGGGGAAUAUUGCACAAUGGGGGAAACCCUGAUGCAGCGACGCCGCGUGGAGGAAGAAGGUCUUCGGAUUGUAAACUCCUGUUGUUGAGGAAGAUAAUGACGGUACUCAACAAGGAAGUGACGGCUAACUACGUG